rnacentral:tRNA from 1 species
AGUAAAGUGGCUGAGUGAAGGCGAUAAAUUGUAAAUUUAUUUACGAAGUUAAUCUUUUUUUACUA